CGCCGCCGCUCCGCCGCCUCGGGGCCCGGCGCCGCCGCUCCCUGCCGCCCUCCCUGAGCCGCAGCCCGCGCCCCGGAGCGGACAGCUGCUUAGCACCAGCUGCUUUGCCCUGUAUGGUUGUGUACUUCAGAGUAACUGGGGCUGACACAGACUGAACACAUGCAUCCACUUCCAAAAUCUGCCUGAGAAAAUAGAUUAGAUCUGCUGUUUGCCUUUGAUUAAUGAGAUUUCCUUAUGUGGUCAUGUAGAAGUAUUUAUUUCAGCCUUAAAAUUGCUGAUGCAAAUCCUUGCUAUGGCAUCUGUGGCUUCACCAGUUAUAUUUAAGGAAUUUUGUCCCUUGUAUUAUCUCCUCAAUGCCAUUCCUACAAAGAUCCAGAAAGGCUUUCGCUCCAUCGUGGUUUACCUGACAGCACUUGAUACCAAUGGAGACUACAUUGCUGUGGGGAGCAGCAUUGGAAUGCUUUAUCUCUACUGCAGACACAUAAACCAGAUGAAAAAAUAUAAUUUUGAGGGGAGGUGUGAAUCUAUAACUUUUGUAAAGCUGUUGAGUUGUUUUGAUGAUCUGGUUGCUGUUGGCACAGCCUCGGGCCGGGUUGCAGUUUUCCAGCUUGUGUCUUCAUUACCUGGAAGGAACAAACAGCUUCGCAGAUUUGAUGUUGCUGGCAUCCACAAAAGUAGCAUUACAGCUUUAGCUUGGAGUCCCAAUGGAAUGAAAUUAUUCUCUGGAGAUGACAAAGGAAAGAUUGUCUACUCUGCACUAGACCUAGACCAGGGUAUUUGCAACUCCAGCCUUGUGUUGGAAGAGCCCUCAUCGAUUGUGCAGUUGGAUUACAACCAGAAGGUGCUGCUUGUCUCCACUUUACAGCGGACUCUGCUUUUUUACACAGAAGAGAAAUCCGUCAACCAAGUUGGAACACAGCCCAGAAAAAACACUGGCAAAUUUGGAGCAUGUUUUAUACCUGGCCUGUGUAAACAGAGUGACUUGACACUAUUUGCUGCCAGACCUGGGCUUCGUCUGUGGAAGUCUGAUGUUCAUGGGACUGUUCAGGCCACAUUCAUAUUGAAAGAUGUAUUUGCUGGAGGAAUAAAAACUUUUGAACUGUAUCCUCGUUUAGAACCACCUGACAGAGGAAGUUACAACUCUCCAGAGAAACACCUCGGGCUUGUCUCAUGCUUUUUCCAAGAAGGAUGGGUGCUGACCUGGAAUGAAUACAGCAUCUAUUUACUGGACACUGUAAACCAGGCUUUGAUUGGUGGCUUGGAAGGAUAUGGUGAUAUUGUGUCUGUGUCCUGUACCAACAAUGAGAUUUUUCUCUUAAAGGGAGAUAGAGACAUUAUAAGAAUUUCAAAUAGACCUGAAGGAGUGUCAUCAAUAGAUGUGAAUUCAAAAUUGUCAAAUCCUUUAACAGAUACAAGUCCUAAAUUGCUGACCCCAUCAUCAGUAGUUUCAUCUGUAUCAUCCAGCCCUUCAGUGGAAACAGAAAGAAAAAUGGUUACUUCUCCUUCAGUGACUGGUGAUAAAAAUGGCACCACUUCUUCAGUGAAAGAUGAUCUGGAAACUCCAACACUAUCAGAGAAAAGCUUUGAAAGAGUGGGAGACUUGAGCAGUGAAGGCAGGAGAAGGGGCUGCUCUGUGGUGAGUGAAUCCCGGAGCAGGAGCAGCUCUCUCAACUCCGUGGACAGCGGCUCGAGCUUCCUGCUGUGUGCAGAGCAACUUCCAGAAGCUCAGAGGGAAGGUCAGCUUUCCUCACAACGCUUCAGCACCAUCAGCUCUGAAGAUUUUGACCAAGAACUGAUUGUAAAGCCAAUUAAGGUGAAAAAGAAAAAAAAGAAGAAACAGGAAAGUGGGACAAGGAGAAACCACAGCUCUCUGGAAGGCACACCCAUUUAUGAGCGUCAGCUUUCUGGUGACAGUCCACAUUCCUUGAAUGCAGACUCCUUUUCCAUGACUUCCAGCAUAAUGAGUGGCAGCAUUGAUCAUUUGAGUACUGGAUCUCCAGAUCAGGAAAGCAUGUUCAGCAUGGAGUCCCAUACAAUCUUGCAAGAAGAUAAUGGUUCAGAAACUUUCAGUGUCCUGCAGUCUCCUGAGUUAGCAAAUGCACUAAUUAAUGAAGAAAAUGGAGAUGUGGCUGAUUUACAGAAACUUCCAAACAGUGACAGUGGCAUGGGUACUUCAGCUGUUAUAGAUCCUUUAACAUCUGCAUCUCCUCUGAUGCUCACAAAAGACUUGACAAGCAGUGUUGGUGGUGAAUGUAGUGGUGCUGUGGUUUCUGCAAGCAGUGAAUGCUCUCCUGGAAAGCUGAGCCAGGAGGAGGAGGAGCAGGAUUUUCCUACAUUGUGCAAAAUAGAUGAAGACUUGGAUAAAAUGAAGGUGCGGGAUACUGAAAAAUCUUCUGAAGAUGCAGACCUUACAGACCAGAUGUUUUUGGAAUGUGACAGUAUACUUGGUGUCCAGACAUCUCUGACACCAAAGGAAAGUGAUGAAACUGGUGAGGAAGACCAACAGCCUCUCUCUCUAAUCCACAGUGCUCUGUCAGACCCUUCUGCACUCCAGUGUGACAUCUCUGACAAGGUUCAUUCAGAUAACUGUUCCAUUUCUGGGUGGAAUUUUGAAAGUGCAAUCAAAGCUAAAUGUAGUACUAGCACUGCUGAAAGGGUAGCAGACACUCAUGAAUGUAGGACUGAAAAAUCUGCCUCAAGUGAUGAAGAGGAUAUUUAUGGACAUGGAUUACCAUAUUCAUCUUCAGAGACCAGCAUGCCUGAAGUUGGUGCUGUGCCUGGUGCACAGGAUGCAGCAAAGAUAAGCCUAGAUGAAAUGGUGCUGUUAAAAUCUGAUCAGUUUGCAGAGAGCUGGAUGGGAUACUCUGGCCCUGGCUAUGGCAUCCUGAGCCUGGUUGUCUCAGAAAAAUACAUUUGGUGCCUGGACUACCGGGGCAGCCUGUACUGCAGCGCCCUUCCUGCGGCCGGCCUGCGCUGGCAGAAGUUUGAGGAUGGGGUCCAGCAGGUGGCAGUUUCCCCCUCAGGGACUCUUCUCUGGAAAAUUGAACAGAAGACUAACAAAGCUUUUGCUUGUGGAAAAGUAACUAUAAAAGGAAAAAGGCACUGGUAUGAGGCUUUACCCCAGGCUGUAUUUGUAGCUCUAAGUGAUGACACUGCCUGGAUUAUCAGAACAAAUGGAGAUCUGUAUCUGCAAACAGGCCUGAGUGUGGAUCGUCCUUGUGCCCGAGCAGUAAAGGUUGACUGCCCUUAUCCACUGUCACAGGUCACGUCCAGGAACAACGUGGUGUGGGCUCUGAGCGAGCAGCGCGCCCUGCUCUACCGCGAGGGAGUGCGCAGCUUCUGCCCCGAGGGCGAGCACUGGAAGAGCGACAUUGUCAGUGAAAUGCAAGCUUUGGAACCAGUGUGCAUAACCCUUGGUGAUCAGCAGACAUUAUGGGCUCUGGAUAUCCAUGGCAAUCUCUGGUUCAGGACUGGUAUAGUUUCAAAGAAACCACAAGGAGAUGAUAACCAUUGGUGGCAAGUAAGCAUCACUGAUUAUGUAGUGUUUGACCAGUGCAGCCUGUUCCAGACCAUAAUCCAGGCAACUCACACGGUGGCAACAGCAGCUCAGGCACCUGUGGAGAAGGUGGCUGACAAGCUAAGAAUGGCAUUUUGGUCACAGCAGCUUCAGUGUCAGCCCAGCCUCCUUGGAGUCAAUGGCAGUGGAGUCUGGAUCUCUUCAGGCAAAAAUGAAUUCCAUGUAGCAAAGGGGAACUUAGUAGGCACGUAUUGGAAUAAUAUUGUGCCUCGUGGUACUGCUUCUGCCACAAAAUGGAUUUUUGUGUUGGCUUCCCCUGCUUCAUCUAAAGAAGGAAGCUUUCUGUGGCUGUGCCAGAGCAACAAGGAUCUGUUUUGUGUCAGUGAUCAGAAUCCUCAUUUUCGUCCUUCUACGGUGCAGCUGCCACCGGAGGCUGAAAUGGUGCACUACUCUGCCUGCCAGGAUGCCAUCUGGGCCUUGGAUAGUCUCGGGCAGAUAUUUAUCAGAACACUUUCCUCCAGCUGCCCAACAGGGAUGCACUGGACAAAACUGGAUCUCUCCCAACUAGGUGGUGUAAAGCUGAUCAGCUUGACCUGUGGAAAUCAGCAUGUUUGGGCCUGUGACACCAAUGGUGGCAUUUAUUUCCGUGUGGGAACUCAACCUCUUAACCCAAGUUUGAUGCUUCCUGCCUGGAUAAUGAUUGAGCCACCCAUACAGCCAGUAGGAAUCAACUUGGUCAGCAUUCAUUCAAGUCCAAAUGAUCAGAUGUUGUGGGCAAUUGAUAGCAAAUGGAAUGUCCAUGUACGAGUUGGAAUUACAGAUGAAAUGCCUGUAGGCACUGACUGGGAACAUGUACCAGGUUUGCAGGCCUGCCAGCUGGCUCUGAGUGCCAGGACGGUGUGGGCGCGCUGCCCCAACGGAGACGUCGCUCGCCGCUACGGCGUCACCGACAAGAACCCCGCAGGAGACUACUGGAAAAAGAUUCCUGGGAAUGUCUCACGUUUAACAGUGACCCCUCUAGAUGAACUGUGGGCGGUCAGUACUUCUGGAUCUCUGCUCCAGCGCCUGACUAAGACCUUUAGCCAUUCCCAUAGUUUGCAGAAAAAUAAUGACACUUCUGUUCUGCUUCACCCUGAUGAUCUGGAAGAUGAAUGGGAAGUGAUAUGAAGUCUGUCAAGCUUGUGAAGCAGUGAAAAAAACAGGAGGACAGAAUUUCUGUAAUGUAUGUACAGAAUAUUGGAUCUAAAAGCCACUCAUUGGACCUGUGAUAUUAGCACUUUUGUAUUGGAAAACUGACCUGUUAAAUAGCCCCAAGCUAAUAGUUCAUGCGUGUACUGCACUAAACUUGGAACAAACAUGGUGCAAGGUGAGAAUGUGAAUUGGGGGAGAGAAAAGUUAUCUUGGUUUUUUUUUUUUAGUAGCACUUGUGGCAUUGGCUUACAGUUCUCAGUUGAAUCUCAGUCCUACAGGAAGGACAGAUUUAAUUCCCUUUUACAGAUUGUUUGCUUCUUUGCUGUCUCAUCUCUAUACAGAGAUCACCCCAGAGGGAUUCUUUUAGCCUGUCUGGAAGUGGAUGGUAAUGGAAUCAGCUUGUGAAGUAACCCAGUCUGUUUUAUGCAAGCCUAGCUUGGUGUCUUGAGGACCCCAAGGAAGCUGAAAUUCAGCUUAAAAGUAUCUUGUGGCAACUCCUGAGUCAAUCACUUUGGAGAAAGGACAUGAGAAAGAACAACUUCUCUGUGCCCUCCAAGCACCAGAUGCUCAAGUACAAUGGCAUUAUUUAAUAGUGACACUUUUGUAUUACAUUUUUCAAAGUCAUCUUAGUAAUGGUUUGAGCUUGCUAGUUGUUUAUUUACUGUAUAAUACUGUUCCUUGCUAUGGUCGUUAAUAUUCUAUUGGUGUCAAGAGCUCUUACAGACUACUUUUCAGGGUAGUUUCAACAAAAUUAGGAUGGGUUUUUUUACUUUUAUUUCUGUAUUUAGGUUUUUGGUUUUGUUUGUGCUUUAAGACAAAGUGCAAUAAAUUAGAUUUUUAAGAAAUAAA